rnacentral:rRNA from 1 species
AUUGAACGCUGGCGGCAGGCCUAACACAUGCAAGUCGAACGAGUGGCGGACGGGUGAGUAAUGUCUGGGAAACUGCCUGAUGGAGGGGGAUAACUACUGGAAACGGUAGCUAAUACCGCAUACCAUCGGAUGUGCCCAGAUGGGAUUAGCUAGUAGGUGGGGUAACGGCUCACCUGGGCGACGAUCCCUAGCUGGUCUGAGAGGAGGACCAGCCACACUGGAACUGGGACACGGUCCAGACUCCUACGGAAGGCAGCGGUGGGAAAUAUUGCACAAUGGGCGCAAGCCUGAUGCAGCCAUGCCGCGUGUAUGAAGAGGGCCUUGGGGUUGUAAAGUACUUUCAGCGGGGAGGCGGUACCCACAGAAGAAGCACCGGCUAACUCCGUGCCAGCAGCCGCGGUAAUUC